rnacentral:rRNA from 1 species
AGCUCCAAUAGCGUAUAUUAAAUUUGUUGCAGUUAAAAAGCUGGUAGUUGGAUUUGUGGCGUACAUUUGGCUCCCUUCGCAUUUGUGUGUCGGUCUGCCUGGCGUUGCCAUCCUUGGGUGGAAUCUGUGUGGCAUUAGGUCGUCGUGCAGCGGAUACACAUCGUUUACUGUAAGGAAAUUAGAGUGUUCAAAGCAGGCUUAUGCCGUUGAAUAUAUUAGCAUGGAAUAAUAAGAUAGGACCUUGGUACUAUUUUGUUGGUUUGCGCACCGAGGUAAUGAUUAAUAGGGAUGGUUGGGGUUAUUCAUAUUUCAUUGUCAGAGGUGAAAUUCUUGGAUUUUUGAAAGACGAACUACUGUGAAAGCAUUUAACAAGGAUGUUUUCA